rnacentral:rRNA from 1 species
UCCAGCUCCAAUAGCGUAUACUAAAGUUGUUGCGGUUAAAAAGCUCGUAGUUGGAUCUUGGAGCGUGUGCUUGCGGUCAUGCCUAUGGUGUGCACUGCUUGACGUGUUCUUCUAUUUGGUUGCGCGUGUGUGUUGCAUUAGUUUGUUGCCACACUCGACCGAAACGUUUACCUUGAAAAAAUUAGAGUGUUCAAAGCAGACCUGUUUGUGUCUGAAUAUUCGUGCAUGGAAUAAUGAAAUAUGAAUUCGGUUCUAUUUUGUUGGUUUUCGGAACUCGAGUUAAUGAUUAAGAGGGACAGACGGGGGUAUUAGUACUCUGCCGUUAGAGGUGAAAUUCUUGGAUCGGCGGAAGACUCGCAACUGCGAAAGCAUUUGCCAAGAAUGUUUUCUUUAAUCAAGAACGAUAGUCGGAGGUUCGAAGACGAUCAGAUACCGUCCUAGUUUCGACUGUAAACUAUGCCAGCUAACGAUCAGACAGCGUUCUCUACGACUUGUCUGGCAGUUUCCGGGAAACCAAAGCUUUUGGGUUCCGGGGGAAGUAUGGUUGCAAAGCUGAAACUUAAAGGAAUUGACGGAAGGGCACCACCAGGAGUGGAGCCUGCGGCUUAAUUUGACUCAACACGGGGAAACUCACCCGGCCCGGACACAGUGAGGAUUGACAGAUUGAGAGUUCUUUCUUGAUUCUGUGGGUGGUGGUGCAUGGCCGUUCUUAGUUGGUGGAGCGAUUUGUCUGGUUAAUUCCGAUAACGAACGAGACUCUGGCAUGUUAAAUAGUCGCGGAAGUAUUUUUGCUUGCCGAUUUGACUUCUUAGAGGGACAAGUGAUUCUAAUCACACGAGAUUGAGCAAUAAC